AGUAUAAAUAUUGGCUUAAGUUGAUAAUUCAGGUAUUACUAAAAUCGAAGUUGAGAGAUGAAGAUCUAUGCAUUCAUUCUUACUAGCACUGUUGGCUUUGGCAGUUGCUACUCCAAAUCCUCAGCCAAAUCCUGAACCAAUGCCUGGCGGAGGUGGUGGUGGCGGCGGUGGUGGCAGAUUAUGGGGAGGUGGUGGUGGUGGCGGUGGAGGUGGUGGAAAGUAAAUUCUCCUAUUAAAUGCUAUUAUUGUUAAAUACCUUGCUACAAAUUAUAAUAAUAAUAAAGCAAAUUGAAUAAUAA